UCAGACUCUGCCCUUAUGAAAAUGAGUCUUGAGUGUCUAGUGUCGACUAGGUGCGCUCCUAAUGAGUCACUAGACAGACAUUAGACAUGCAAAGCCUAAUGUCGUUUAACAUUAAGUGUACAUCGGAGAGUCAAAUGACCAUGUGCACUUUAAUUUCUGGUGACUGAAGUGUUCAGACUUUCAGUUGCCGUUCCUAAUGUCAAAACGCGCAUCACAACAAAGAAGUUAAAUAGCCUUAAUCGCCACCGUAAAAUCAGUUUAUCACAAUAGACAAGUUCGUCUUUCAGAGACUACAAGCAAUAAACAAUUUGUGUUGCAAUGUACACAAAUAUCGUGUUUCAGUAGAAUGCGUAAAUAUUUUACAUAUAUCGCCCAUGCACCGGCGAUCGAAGAAUUGCUGACGACCGCAGCAAGGUUCAUUAUAUUACCUGCCGUAUAUAUUGAAGUAAGCAUUUCCUUGUUUUUAGAAGGCAUGAGUCGAUCACAUACCCAAACAUGAACAGAUAUGAUCAAGUGACACUGCGAACACUCGCUCAGGGGCCCGUGUUGCCCAUUUGUCCAGUAGAAAUUAACGGAGGAGAGUGGGGAUUACCCGCACGGCGUCGCGAAGGAUUUUGGGGGGCGGAGAAGAACUGGAACUGUGGACAAUGGGUGACGUACAGAAAAAAAGUUCGUUAUUGUUGUGAUAAAAAUUAGGGACUGUUCUUAUGCAUGGUGCACUUACAUAUAUGUCCAAAACAGAAUGUUGUUGGUUGCAAAGAUACGCGGACAAGCGCUUUUCCCAACCUCAAACUACUGUCUCUAUCUCUCCUCGCUGUUGCAACGCUGGUCAGAAGCAGCCGACAACCAAAGUUCGAUUUGGCCCAACGUCGCGUACAUCCUUCUCCCGCCCCGCCUCCUCGUAAUGUCGUCUCCACGCGACUCUCUUCCGUUCUCCACGGCGUCAACUCCUCUCUCCCUUCACUCCUUCCUUGUCCCAUUCACCUCCUCUGUGUGCAACGUUGGGUGUCGCCUAUCACACCCUACCCAUUCCCUCCUCCUAUCAUAAUCCCUACCUCUUUCUAUCCACGGGAGAGGGCAGUAACUUGAAACAAAAAAGCGUUUCUUUUGACAAAACAAAAUGUAUAGUUGCAUAACAAAAUCGAACAGCCAUAACACAUUCCCAACAUGCACACACGGGUUAAAAAAAGCCAUAAAUACACUUUUUUUUAUGUACAGUGACAAAUAAAAACAACAACAUUGCUUUAUUUUCUACGGAGCGCUGUUUGAAGAGAGGGUCAGCGCGCACCAAGGAGAUAUUUACAUUUGUUUUGAUUUAUGCAGCGUCAUUUCGCGUUUUUGCACUUGUGAAAAACGUCGCACCUUUUACGUGCACCUCACAGUCAAAAUAGCGCCUUCGUCUUCAAGUGAGCGCUCGUCACCCUCCACCUUUCCCGACGACUCGCCUAGGGAGCUUCUGACGAAUUUCACUAGCAAAUGGCUGUAUAAGCCUGAGACGGCCGCUCGAACAAUGAAAUGGCCGUCACAUGAGGUACGGAAGGUUCACAAACCAAAACUAAAUUCGAAACGCGCGCCGAACCGGACUAUUUCGCGGAGCAGUACAUGUGCAGUAGCUCCGCCCCCGUAGCCUUCCCUUCAUUGCCAAGAAAAGUUGUCCUUGGGGGCGCUUUAGUUGUUUGACGGGUGCACGGUGCGCGCGGUUUGUGUGUGUGUGUGCCAUGCUGUGUUCUGCAAUGCUUCGUUACCACGUUUAUCGAUUAUGCACGUUGGUUACUUGAUUCAAUGUCAAGUGUACCUUCCAAGACGAUCUAGGUCCUAGUCUCGUGACUGAAGGCGAGUGCGGACGUACAGAAGCCUUUUGACAAGACUGUCGCCGAGUGUACGGUACAUUGUGGACUGUAAAGCUGAAGAGUGCACAGUGGAUGCCUGAUUUGGGAACCGAGUGGUGAUCGUCUGGGCGGUGUAUUCACUCUGCGGGGAUGAUGGCCAGAGGAAGGAUGAUAGACAGACGACAGCUUGCAGACGAAGAUGGGAGCGUUCUACCUGUGAGCCUGGUCGAGCUUAUAUUUUAUGGAUACACAUGCAUGGAUACACAUACAUGGAUUCCCUACAAGGACCCUGCGCAUCAAAAGCAAUCUGUCUUCAAUGUUAAGUAGACAGAUUAAACGAAACGAAGAUAUGACAGGUGUACACCAUAUUUUUCUUUCAUUUAACCUCUGCAUGUUUCCCAGUCAAUAAAUGUUUUUAUCCAUUUUCUUUUGUUGAGAAAUGUCUUUGUACAUCACAAGUGUCGUAGAAGGUGCAUACAUGCACUUUUGUAUGAUGCUUGGCUGCAUGUGUAUCAACCAGCAAACACAUUGUCAGGCACAACUAAUAUGUGAUUCCGUUCUAUCAUCCGGACAUAUCAUAAAUCUUAUCAUGCACUGUAAUAGUUCUGUUUCAGGAAUGUUAUGAAUGUCAUUGGCCACGAAGCACAAGCUUGGCCGAGGGUCAUUGCAAACAGGAUGUUUCAUACUCACAAGAAAGUCACUCAUAAGGACACAUUAGAAUGACGGUGGCCAAUAUGUUUUUGAAUGACAUUAUGAGUACAUUAAAACAAUUCUGAAGAAAUACAUUAGAGAAUCAAAUGAGUGUUGAUGUCAAAGGUCGUUUCAUGCUCACUAGACUAUCACAUGUUAAUACGCAUCGGACUAUCACAUGUUAAUCCGCAUCAGACUAUCACAUGUUAAUACGCAUCAGAAUGAUCGGCCAAUAUGUUUUUGAAUGGCAUUUCAAAUACA